GUGUCAGCCGCCGCGGUAAUACGUAGGUGGCAAGCGUUGUCCGGAUUUACUGGGCGUAAAGGAUGUGUAGGCGGAUAUUUAAGUGAGAUGUGAAAUCCCACGGCUUAACCGUGGAGGGUCAUUGGAAACUGGGAGACUUGAGUGCAGAAGAGGAAAGUGGAAUUCCAAGUGUAGCGGUGAAAUGCGUAGAGAUUUGGAGGAACACCAGUGGCGAAGGCGACUUUCUGGUCUGCAACUGACGCUGAGGCGCGAAAGCAUGGGGAGCAAACAGGAUUAGAUACCCUGGUAGUCCAUGCCGUAAACGAUGAGUGCUAAGUGUUAGGGGGUUUCCGCCCUUUAGUGCUGCAGCUAACGCAUUAAGCACUCCGCCUGGGGAGUACGACCGCAAGGUUGAAACUUAAAUGAAUUGGCGG
rnacentral:rRNA from 1 species